AGAAGAGUCGCACAUGCGCAGAAGGUUAUGUCAGAGCACAACGGGAAGUGCUUUUUAAGGCUGAGAUUCUGUUCCCAGGUCCUGAUCAGCUCUUCCCAGCCUCAGAGAAGCCAUGGGAGCCUGCCGCAUCCAGUAUGUCCUGCUCCUCUCUCUACUGGGCUUCUGCCCCUGCUCAGAUACUCUGACCUGCCAGAUGGGAUCCAUGGUGCGUUUGGGCAGUGACCUCACUAGGAAUGAAGUUGAAUGGAUAGAACUGAAGACUGUGGAAACUAGCGGUGAAGAGAUAUGUCAGGAGAUAUUUCUGCUCAUAGAUGUAGGUACAACAGCUCUCAUAUUGGGGAGCAAAGGUCCCAGCAUACCGAGUCAUAGAAAUGUCAGAAACAUCACGGUGUUUGCCCGUGGACCUGGAUUAAAGGCUAUCAUUUUUUACCACAUAUGUGACAUUGAACUGUGCAACAGAGCUAACAGCACCAGAAUGCUAAUUGACUCCAUCCCUUCUGUAGCCCCUACUGUGCGAGGAAGGCAGCCUUGUCCUAUCUGCUUGCAUUUUAAGGGUAUUUGCAACUCCUACACCAACCUUGCCAUCUGUCCUAGAGGCACUCGAUGUUAUAAGAGUGACCUGGCACUCCAUGGAGGUAAGGGAUGAGGCUGCCUUCCCGGAUGGAGGAGACUGUGGCCAUGACUCCAGCGCCUCAGGAGGAGGGAUGAAGUCUCCUGGCUCUGAGGGAGGUGGCAUCAGUGCAAUCUUUAGCAUUUCUGGAUGUCUGGUCUAUCCUCAAAAAUUCUUAAUGAAAAAUCAAAGUUCAGUCGGGACGAUCUCCCUAUUAGAAACCCUUUUGAUGCCAAAGAGCAAGUCACCCUCACACGAACUUGUCCCGAGCAUCUUACUGACCUGCAUGUUUGGGCUCUUAGCCCUUUGUUUACAGAGAUCUGUCCUCUCUGCUGAACCCAUUUCCUGACCAUUCUUAAUCCCUCUUGGCCACCCAGACCCAGCCCUCCUCUGACUUCAAAGACCUGAGGCUGGACGCUGUCGGCCUGCGCUGUCGGGCGCCAUCAUCCCUCACCCACACACCUCUGCCCCUCAUGCUUAGACUUGGGAGCCACUGAGCCCAGCCGGCUCCAGAGCAGACAAGCACACGUUGACCACGUGUGGAAAAAUAAAGUUGCUGUUGUUUGUCCAA